GGUCUUACUAUGUUUCCCAGGCUGGACUCAAACUCCUGGGCUCAAGUGGUCAUCCCACCUCAGCCUCCUGAGUAGCUGGGACUAUAGAUGCAUGCCGCCAUGCCCUGCCAAAAUCAUAUUUUUGAAGGUAGUGAUGUGGACAGAACCACCUGUGCUGCGCUGCAGACCCGCACAGAGGUCUACUGGAAGGAAGGAGCUCGAGGCGAGUCCACUGAGCGUGCGCACUUCCCAACUGCCAAUAUUCUACCUAUGCGUUACACUGACUGUGGAAUGCAAAAUAUGCAUGAUUACACAGAAUAUUGUUAUCGAGGAGGAGAUUUCAUAUGAAGGUUGAUCUAUCAUGUGGACAUUCAGCAAGCUCUCGAGGCUCUGCCAGGGUACUCUCCCAGGAAACAUCAACAACAGCUAAGAGUGAGGGGCAUGUUACAGAUAGAGCUUCAGGACCUCAUGUUCUCUGCUGGUGGAUGAGAAGAGUGACCCGCAUCCCUUCUGACCUGUUUCUGAUAGAGUCCAGGCUGCUGUUGGAGGGUUGUUUCUCAAGUUCUGGCAUCUCUGUUGACUUAAGGACCAUUCAACAUGAGAAAAUGGAGCCCACCAAUUUUGUGGCAGGCUUUCACCAGUCUGGUCUUGAUUUGCCACAAAUGCUGGACUUCCAAUUUUUAGCCUCGGGAACUGAUUUCAUUCCUUCCCAUUCCCAAAGGUUCUUCUGUAGCCUGCCAUCAAUUCUGAACAUCAUAUUGUAA
rnacentral:lncRNA from 1 species